ACAACACAGCCAUAGUCGACCUUGGAGUAGUGGUAGUCGACCCUGGCUACUCUAAUGCUUGAAAAGGGGAGAAAUCAAGAGACAUAAAUGACCUUGGCAAAGCCAUAGUCGACUAUAUCAGUACAAACUUGCAAAAAUCACACUCUUGGGAAUUGGAUCGAGUAGAAGAAGGUUAUACUCGAUUAUAGAACCUUAAUUUGAAACAUUCAAAUAACAUAGUUGACCCUAAGAGCAUUGUAGUCUACCCUUAACUUCAGCAACGGUCAAAUUUAAUUCAAACUUGUGUCUAACGGCUUCAAACUUCACACUAGUUAUAAUUAAAUAGACGCUUUUGAGUCAUUUGGAAGUAAGAGAAGACUUGAGAUAAAGUUUCAAACCCUAGAGAGACAUUUAAAAAGCUUAUCCUCACUCUCUAGCUUCAUUUUAGACUUCCACCAAGCUUUGAAAAGUUCCAUACUUGAUUCAUU
rnacentral:lncRNA from 1 species